CGGCGGACGGGUGAGUAAUGCCUAGGAAUCUGCCUGGUAGUGGGGGACAACGUUUCGAAAGGAACGCUAAUACCGCAUACGUCCUACGGGAGAAAGUGGGGGAUCUUCGGACCUCACGCUAUCAGAUGAGCCUAGGUCGGAUUAGCUAGUUGGUGAGGUAAAGGCUCACCAAGGCGACGAUCCGUAACUGGUCUGAGAGGAUGAUCAGUCACACUGGAACUGAGACACGGUCCAGACUCCUACGGGAGGCAGCAGUGGGGAAUAUUGGACAAUGGGCGAAAGCCUGAUCCAGCCAUGCCGCGUGUGUGAAGAAGGUCUUCGGAUUGUAAAGCACUUUAAGUUGGGAGGAAGGGCAGUAAGUUAAUACCUUGCUGUUUUGACGUUACCGACAGAAUAAGCACCGGCUAACUUCGUGCCAGCAGCCGCGGUAAUACGAAGGGUGCAAGCGUUAAUCGGAAUUACUGGGCGUAAAGCGCGCGUAGGUGGUUCGUUAAGUUGGAUGUGAAAGCCCCGGGCUCAACCUGGGAACUGCAUCCAAAACUGGCGAGCUAGAGUAUGGCAGAGGGUG
rnacentral:rRNA from 2 species